GGCGGCAGGCCUAACACAUGCAAGUCGAACGGUAGCACAGAGAGCUUGCUCUCGGGUGACGAGUGGCGGACGGGUGAGUAAUGUCUGGGAAACUGCCUGAUGGAGGGGGAUAACUACUGGAAACGGUAGCUAAUACCGCAUAACGUCGCAAGACCAAAGAGGGGGACCUUCGGGCCUCUUGCCAUCAGAUGUGCCCAGAUGGGAUUAGCUAGUAGGUGGGGUAACGGCUCACCUAGGCGACGAUCCCUAGCUGGUCUGAGAGGAUGACCAGCCACACUGGAACUGAGACACGGUCCAGACUCCUACGGGAGGCAGCAGUGGGGAAUAUUGCACAAUGGGCGCAAGCCUGAUGCAGCCAUGCCGCGUGUAUGAAGAAGGCCUUCGGGUUGUAAAGUACUUUCAGCGGGGAGGAAGGCGAUAAGGCUAAUAACCUUGUCGAUUGACGUUA
rnacentral:rRNA from 1 species